rnacentral:rRNA from 1 species
UACGUAGGGGGCAAGCGUUGUCCGGAAUCAUUGGGCGUAAAGCGCGUGUAGGCGGCCCGGUAAGUCCGCUGUGAAAGUCGGGGGCUCAACCCUCGAAUGCCGGUGGAUACUGUCGGGCUAGAGUGCGGAAGAGGCGAGUGGAAUUCCUGGUGUAGCGGUGAAAUGCGCAGAUAUCAGGAGGAACACCGGUGGCGAAGGCGGUUCUCUGGGCAGGUUCUGACGCUGAGGAGCGAAAGUGUGGGGAGCGAACAGG